rnacentral:rRNA from 1 species
UACGAAGGGGGCGAGCGUUGUUCGGAAUUACUGGGCGUAAAGGGCGCGUAGGCGGCUACCCAAGUCAGAUGUGAAAGUCCUGGGCUUAACCUGGGGACUGCAUUUGAUACUGGGUUGCUUGAAUUCGGGAGAGGAUAGCGGAAUUCCCAGUGUAGAGGUGAAAUGCGUAGAGAUCGGGAGGAACACCGGCGGCGAAGGCGGCUGCCUGGGCCGGCCCUGACGCUGAGGCGCGAAAGCUAGGGGAGCAAACAGG